UACGAAGGGGGCUAGCGUUGCUCGGAAUUACUGGGCGUAAAGCGCACGUAGGCGGCUUUCUAAGUCGGGGGUGAAAUCCUGGAGCUCAACUCCAGAACUGCCUUCGAUACUGGAGAGCUCGAGUCCGGGAGAGGUGAGUGGAACUGCGAGUGUAGAGGUGAAAUUCGUAGAUAUUCGGAAGAACACCAGUGGCGAAGGCGGCUCACUGGCCCGGUACUGACGCUCAGGUGCGAAAGCGUGGGGAGCAAACAGG
rnacentral:rRNA from 1 species